rnacentral:lncRNA from 1 species
CACAGAAAGAUGGCGCCGGCCACGCUGCGCGGCGCUGCUGCGUCACAGCGAUCCUCCGCGGACCGCGGGGAGAACAAAGGCGGGGCGGCCGCCCGGCGCAGCCGAGAACAGCAAGAGCUGAAAAUAGAACCACCUUGGGCUCCGGAGCAGGAAGCUGCCCAGGAGCGGUACUGAGGACUGACGCCGAGGGACGCUGGCGCCCCGCGGGUGGCCAUGGCGACGGGCCCCCUUCUCUAGGCUGGGGGCAGACUCUGAGGUUUUGCUGUAUAGCCCAGGCUGGCCUUGAACUUACAGCGGAUCCUCCUGCCUCAGCCUCCCGAGUGCUGGGAUCCCAGGCGUGCCCAGUGUGGCCUUGCAGUCCCUUGCCUCGGGCCUCUGGGCAUCUGUUGGACAGCUCCAGUCCCAGCGCUGCCCUUUCUCCUGAGUUGGCUUCAGAAGAGGCAGCCCCUGAAGCACUCCCUUCAGAGAGGUCAGGACCGAAGGGUCUUGCUGUGUAGCUGUGGCUGGACUUGAACCAAGAGCAAUCCUCCUGCCUCAGCCUCCCGAGUGCUGGGAUGACAGGCGCCACCAUGCCCAGCUUAGAAACCAGCAUUUUAAAAGACCAGGUGCUGCAGUCGGAUGGGCCGGGGAUUUAGCUCAGUGGUUCCGGCACCUGCCUCACAAGCGCAAGGUCCCGAGUUCAAUCCCUGGUACCAAAAAAAAUACCAGGUGCUGCAGUCGGAGGGACCGUGCAGAUCAGCCAGACACAGCGCUUUCAGGUGCUUAGCCGGAGGCGAACAUGUUGAAUCUAACACGUAUAUUUUGGACCAGUUAUUGAAGGGUCCACUGCCGACAUGAACUCAGAAUAAAGCUAACUGUGCAGUGGCUGGGGAGGGGCACACGAAAACGAGUGUGCUCGGUGCAUGAAGUGAAGCGUGCGUGCGGGUGUCCGGCCCAGUGAAGGUUGCACCUCAGGGUCUUUGUGGGCUGGGCACCCAGUCCCUGUCUCUGUCCCUGUCCAGGAACUACGGCUCCCACUUUUGGCUGGGUGCCCAGGGCGGGGCCCAGCUUUUCCUUGCUGUAUUUUUUAAACCAUUUCAGGAGAAGAAAAAAGCAAAUCUAUAACCCUGGCUUCAAGUUUCCUGGAGGGCUGUGGCACAAGGUAGCUUUUCUUUUUUAACUCUGAUUUCUGCCCAUCCGAGGUUGCAGUCCUUCCUCCAGGGAGCUGGUUCAAGACAUCUCACACCUCCGCCUUCGCCCCUUCUCCUCCCUGUCUCUCCAUUGAGUCUUCAGAGCCUCUGGUGUGAAGCAGAGAUGCAGCAGGAGGCAGGCGCACAUGCUGCGCACUGCACAAGCAGAAGUGUCGCUCCCUGGCACUCUGACGGUGUCCUCAAGGAGUAGGCUGUGAGUUUCAGACUAGGAAAAGCUAUCCCAGAGAGCAGCGAGCUGAAAUCAGACUGCAGCUCAGCUCAGCAGCACUUCAGAUGCGUGGCCUUCAGCACCCCAUUCCUCAGCUCCCAGUGUUGGAUCCCCACUGCUGGCUCUGCAGGCUGUUGCCGUGUCUCCGUCCUCCAGAAGUACCUGCCUCCGAGGUGGGUCCUGUGCUCACGCAUGGGGCGAGGUCACGGUGUUUGCCACUUGACCACAGCCUGGACAUCAGCUCCCUCUCUGGAAGAACCUAGUUCCCACCCCGGUCCGCUUUGUCCCUCUCAGAUGCCAUGUACUUCCUCACUGUACAAGUCCAUACAGUCCCUUGUUCUUUAGUUAAAACAGUUUAACCUUUGUUUGGGGAUUUUUUUUCAGACAGGAUUUUGUUAUGUUUCCCAGGCUGGCCUUGAACUCAUGGCAAUCCUCCUGCCUCAGCCUCCUGAGUGCCAGGUUACAACAGUUUAAUUCUUACAAGAACAGUAUGUAUUUGAAAAAUGUUUCAAGUAGAUUUUACUUUUAAAAAAAAUUCCAAGGAGAAACAAAAUUGCAUUUUAAAGCAUUUAUUAGUUAUAAAAUAAUCAUUUAAAUUUUUUUUUCCUCGAGACUGCUUUCAAGUUGCACUGAGAGAAUGCUAAUGUAAAUAUUCACAAGAUAGUUGUUUGCUUUUUAUUAUUACAAAUGCUUAGUCUUUUUUUCCUUCCAAUUUAGAUAGAAAAAGUGAAAGAGAAAAACAUUGCCUAAAGGAAAUAGCCUUUACAAUGGACCUUUGACUUACGAACUCAGUCCGUUCCAGAGGGAUGGUUGUAACUCAGGUUGGUCAGUGGAGGCUCGGGCUCCCCUACACAGCCUUCACAGUCUCUCUCCUGCACACAGGCAGAUCUCAGUGUCCUCAGAGAGACACUGGCCGGGGAUUUCCCAGUGAGCCCCAUUCAGGAGAGGAUGCUGUCCUGUUCCUUCCAGACUCUUUAAGGGUUAAGUCUGCAUGUGAGACCAUCUGGAAGCACAGGUGGCCAGCAUUCAGGUCAUAACUCAAGACUUUGGUUGUAAGUUAAAACUAAAAUCCUGGUCAAGACCCAAGUUGUUCGUAUAUCAGGCCGGUUGUAACUCAAGGGCCCACUGUUGCACUAUUUACUGAGUGUCUGGCAGUUGCAUGGCUUCGCCGUGGGUCACCCCGAUGUCCUGUGGGCCCCAGGAGAAGCUCAGGACCAAGGCCUGGCGGGCACAGCACCAUCCCUGCUGCCUUUCCUUCGGCAGCUGGGGACGCCUCUGCCCUCAGUCGCUGUUCCGGUUCUGUGUGUAGGAGGAGCCAGCUGCUCUCUGGGAGCCUCUGGUCUGCCUGAAAGGCGCUGCCCCAUCAGUCUGGAGCAGAAAUCCAAGAACAAGCGCACCUGCCUGUCGGAUCUGCUCAGACAAAACAGCGGAGACCUCAAAACACAGCGGAAACGGCGAGUCACCGCCUCCAGAGGAUGCUCUGCCACUGAUUUCAGCCCAGACGCCCUGUGCCCCUCAGGAGCUGGAGUCCCUGAGUCAGCCAGAUGGCAGGGCUCGACUCAGGAAGUCAUCUGGGAGCCGCAGGUUCUGAUGCUGAGCCCAGGGAUAGAGCUGGGUUCGUCUCCACUUCUGAACAUCUGGGCGGGUUGGGGUGCGGGGGAUCAGAGUCCGGAGCUUCCUCUCAGGACAGCCUCACCUCGUGGCGGUUCCUCCCCACACACACGGGGAGAUCCCAGAACAGGCCUGGUGGGCACACUUGUCAUCCUAGCGCUGGGGAGGCUGAGGAAGGAGGAUUACUGCGAGUUCGAGGCCAGCCUGGGCUACAUAAUAAGACCCUGUGUCAAAAAACAAACAACACACAAAUACAGAUGAAUCGAGUGUCCGCCUCUCAGCCCCACGUGCUCACCUGGGCCUUUUCCUCUUUCAGCUGCUGCUCUCCGAGGGACCUCAGAGCCCGGCCCACACCUCGUGGGACCCACAGAGCCUCCUGGCUGCCCUGGCUCAGUUAUCACAGUGCUGAUGCUGUCCACUCUAAAGGUACAGUACUGUGAUAACUGAAGGAUGGCAGCCACCUUGCUGCCCGAGGUGCCCGGAACCACAGAGGAGGAGGAGGAAGAAGGGGCCCAGUGAUGGCCCCGAAACCCAUGCGCAGCCCCUGGCUGGAGAGAAGGUUAUUCUGGCUCUUCGCUGUGCUUUGUUCAUUUUUGGGUUUUUUGAGUUAGGUCGCCAUGCCGUUCAAACUGGCCUUGAAGUCACUGGAGCCCAGGCUGGUCCUGGACUCGAGGUGAACCUCCUGCCUCAGCCUCCUGCGUGCUAGGGUUGCCCCAGCCCUGCUCUCCUUGUCUCGUUUUAUAACAUGGGCAGAAAACUCGAGGUGGUUUGUUGGCAAACACGGAAGGGCCAGGAACCUUGAGUCUUCAGGGGUCAUCGCUGGGGAUGUACCGGGUAUGAGUCAGGGGGCCGGGCAUGGCAGUGCCCGCCUGUAAUCCCAGACUCGGGAGGCUGAGGCAGGAGGACUUCUGGGAGUUCAAGGCCAGUGUCCAGUUGCCGUGUCUCUGGGGAUUGGACAGCGACCUGUCUGUCCUGUGUCCGGAGAGAUUUACAUCACAUCUUCUCCCAAAAGUGUGUACUGUUACUGCUGCUGUUGUCACCUUUCAUAUGAAAAUAAAGUGUGAAGUUAUUUCAUUUUGUCACAUAAAGAAGGACCACUCUGGGAGCUGGGUGUGGGGGCCACACCGGUAAUACUCGGGAGGCCGAGCGAGGCAGCAGGAUCCCUGCAGGUUCAAGGCCAGCCUGGGCUCCAGAGUGAGACCCCCAUCUCAAAAAAUUAAUAACCAAGCAAGUACAAAGCAACCCCCACACCGGGUUUUAUGCUUCCCAGCCUCUGCAUCCUCUCCAGAGUCUGCAGGGCUGCAGGGCCCAGGUUCAGGUGGCUGGGGCGGGACCUCACUUCCCUGCAGCUCCAUCUGCGUGACUCUUGCCCCAAGGAAGUGAAUGUAGGGCCUCACAGACAUUGACACACUUCUGCUGAUGCCGCCCAGGUGUACAUGUGAGGAUGGGUAGGGGAGCAAGAUGUGACACGUGUAGUGGGUGGAGUAUUACUCAGCCCUGAAAAGGCAGAGUUCCUCACUGCAGUGUGGUGAGUCUUACAGAUGCUGUGUCGGUAAAAGAAGCUAGCAUGACAAGAUGGGUUCCGUGUGUCCCCACAUGCACUUCCAGGGCGCCCUCACCCAGUGAGGAUGGCCAUGGGCACUGGAGUGGGGGGUAGGGGGACAGUGAGGGGUCAGGGAUACAUGAAUCCAGGGUUUUGUUUGGGGAAGAUGAAUUCUGGAGGUGGGCAGCGAUGGUUUCCCAGCAUCAUAAAUGGGCUCAGGGCUUCAGAACACAACUCCUAAAAUGGCAAAUCUUACGCUGUUUCACUGCAAUAAGAAAACAAGAAACCAAAGGGCAACAGCACUGCAGCUGCUGCUCCUGGGCAGUGUCGGGGCAGAGAGGACACUGCCUCCCUGGAGGAUGAAAACAUGGAUGCUGAGCUGUUCACGGGGCUCACGCGCUGCAGGCCUCCGAGGUGGUGUAAACGGAGCAGAGGCUGGAGCAGAACCUGGCUGCCCUGGCGUCCCCUGCUGGCUCUGGACCCCAGCAGUGACACUGGCGAUGCCCUGGCCGCAGUCUCGGAGCUGAGGGAGAGUGCGGUUUUCUGGAUGGAUUCUUCUGUCCUGACCGAAGCCAUGACCCGGGACCACAGGUCGGUCCCUCCCGCAGUAGAGACCCGCGCUGGCACAGAUAACAGCAUUUGUAUUUUGGGGGUUUUUUGAGACUGUAUCACUGUGUAGACCAGGCAGGCUGGCCUUCAACUCACCAUGAUCCUCCUGCCUCAGCCUCCCAAGUGCUGGCGUUUCCAGUGUGCACCACCAAACCAGGCUGGCGGAUUGUGUCUUGUCUGGUGCGUGCAGGCUGUGAUUUUCUGUGGGAUUAUGAGAUGUGUGGUGCUGAAAAGAGAGAAGGAACCAGACCUGGUUUUUUGACUGAUCCCAACUAAGUGGGAGGCUGAGACAGGAGAAUCCCAGGAGCCCAGGAGUUCAGGGCCAGCCUGGGAAACAGACUGACUUUAAAAGUUCACAGUGAUUCCCGUCGGUAUUCAUGCUCAUUUCUGGCUUCUGUCCUUGAAAAUGAAAUUACAGAAUUAGUUCGGCG